AAAAUAAAUGUUUCAUGUUAGUGAUUUGCUAUUCUGACAAUUUGAAUUAACUCCCUUUUAGACAGAAAAAAAUAUCAAGAAGAUUAUUUUUUCUUAUCAAGCUACUGUCUUUUGAUCGGAAAAAUAUUGUCAUUUUUUAUAAUAAAUUUCAUGUUAGAAACUGAUCUAUACCUAAGAGUAAAGACGACUGUAAAAUCGUUAAUAUCAUAUGCAUGAUAAGAUAACUCUUACAAAGAUUGAUUUCUUUACUCAGGUAACAGUUGUUUCCCCUUUUACAACAAGUUCUAUACAGUGUAUAUGUUACUGUAAUAAAUUGUGGUUUAACUUGUACUUAUACAGUCAACAUCUGCCAGUUACAAAUAUUUUGCCUGUAACAUUUUAAAUCAGUUUACAUGACUUAGUGAAUGUUUGUUUCUUGUAAGACAUUGAAAAAAAAAUUGUUUUUUGUUAUUUGUAGCCUACUCUGAGAUGUCAAGUGAUAGAUUUUGUACAUAGCGUUCGACAUCUGACCAACGAAACAAGUAUAUUCCUAGCUGAUAAAGCUCCGGAGCUGAGGAUAAGGCUAGACAUUGAGGAGAAACUAAAUCAUUCCCUGUCUCAAGUUGAGGAGGAGACAAAACAAGUGAUGGAAAUGUGCAAUAUUCCCUCUGCACCAAUAUCUCAGGAAGAGUUGCUGGCAAGUGUAGAGAUGAAACCAAGACCAAAGCCAGGGAAGUUUAAACAGGUGGUUAGUAAACUGAAAGGCAAGAAGGAUAAAGAGAAACCUUACAUUCCAU